UGUUCUCAGGGAGGAGAGACCUUUG
rnacentral:piRNA from 1 species